rnacentral:lncRNA from 1 species
CGGCAAUGGGUUUGUGGGAUCGUGAACCAGUGCCUCCAACCAUGAUCCAAGACAAACCUCUUCUCUUGCUAACUUGAUCAACUCAAACAUCUGUCACAGGAAGCUUCAACAUAAUGACACAGGCCUAGUAAUUUACUUUUCACUUGGAAUUAGUUUCUCGGGCUCUUGACCAAGUCUUGAGCAAUACCUAGUGUGCCUUGACAUGGAGGAACCAUGGCUGCCGCUAGCAUAGACUUCACUCACUUUAGAAAUAUAAAAGAGUAAUCCAUUCUUUCCAGUAACAAGCAGGCUUGCAGCAGGGACUUAAGCGGGGUGGACAGAAGAGAACAGCUAUCUCCUUAGGCAGCCAGGAAGAGAAGAUGUAAGUUGAAUGGUCUGCACAGAAGUGACAACAGAGAUCUAUUGAAUUCAGCAACCUCUCCAGACACCUUCAAAAGGGGAUGCUCAUAUCCAUAUUUAUAAAGAGGAAUCCGAUGCCAAAAGAGGUCAAACAGUCUUUAUAAAUCCUUAUGUUAAAGUUACUUCAGCUCUACUCUGGGCAGCUAGCUUGAGAAUAUAUUUUGUUGAUUUAUGUAUUCUGGUGCUAUACUGUGUUGUAAGGAAUCAACGAUGACUUAAAUAUGUGAGGUAGCCUACAUAAAACAAACGAAUGUAGCUCUGGUGCUGGAAAAGUCGGGCCUAAUGUGCUAUUCACCAUUUACCUGUUAUGUUUUGAAUAUGUGCCCUGCUCUUAAUUCUUCUUCAUCCACAAUAUUAAAAAUGAGAAACCUCAUUUAAAAAUUGCAAACCUCAUGGGUUUGUCUCGAGGAUUAAAUAGAUAAGUAUGGUGCUUCCUCUAUGGAUGGGAUGUAGUACACUAAGGAAUAUUUUUAUCCUAGGCAUCAGGAUGAAUAGGAGUUGUCAGGACAAAAGAGAUGGGAAAAGCCUUAGAGGAUGUCAUGAGGAGAAAGAGGAGUUUCUACUGAAGUAUCACUUAAGGCUUUUCACACCAUUCUCUGCACUGAUUUUGCUGGACAAAGCUGAGCCUCUAAUGGAAGAACAAGAGAAGAGAGCGAGACCCACACAGAAAUAUAUCUGCUGAGGUUGGUAUAGCAAGGUCGUGUUUUAACCAUCCCUUUUCCCACACAAAAAUAGCAAUGAAGGGGGUUGGAGAGGUGUUUCAGGAUUCUACUUACAUCGCCCGCAUGACUGUUUAUCCAAGGGAAUCCAAUGCCCUCCUCUGGCUUCUGUGGGCACUGCAUGCCCAAGGUGCACAUACAUACGUUCAGGCAAAACACCCAUCCACUUAAAAUAAAAAUAAAGACAAACCUUUUUUUCCCCCUAAAUUAAAAAAAAAUAAUGACG